rnacentral:ncRNA from 2 species
UCAAUAGAUUAUUUCAUAGGUGCCCGCAAGGGAUAAUAGGGAACCAGGUUAUAAUCCUGGACGGACCCACCACUGUAAUUAGAUGCUUGAUACUGUACAUUUGCCACUGGGAUAUCCGGGAAGGCGUACAUGUUAGUCUAUAAGUCAGGAGACCUGCCUAUAAAAUAUUUGCAAU